UACGUAGGCAGCAAGCGUUGUUCGGAGUUACUGGGCGUAAAGGGUGCGUAGGCGGUUGUUUAAGUUUGGUGUGAAAUCUCCCGGCUCAACUGGGAGGGUGCGCCGAAUACUGAAUGACUAGAGUGCGGGAGAGGAGAGUGGAAUUCCUGGUGUAGCGGUGAAAUGCGUAGAUAUCAGGAGGAACACCGGUGGUGUAGACGGCUUUCUGGACCAUAGCUGACGCUGAGACACGAAAGCGUGGGUAGCAAACAGG
rnacentral:rRNA from 1 species